UCUCAAGGUCGGUGGUACAGGUUUGCUGUCUCUCGCCACAGAUGCAUAAAUUGGUCUCUGCUGGUAUUUUUUGCUCACUUCCUGUUUCCUUGCAGACUGUACUGCUUUCCAUUCUCCUGCUCAUAGUGUGGCCUCCUCCUGUGUAAAGCGGAGUGCCGGUCACUAAUGGGGCUAGUCACCCUCACUAUUUGUUGUAGUUAAGAUCACCGGGGAGGCCGAGUGAGCUGUUUGCUGUGGCUGCACCUGGUGCAAGUCCCCAGGUGGUGUCUGUCUAUCCCAAUUUAGUAUAUAUCUUUUAAUUAAACACCACCCUGCCACACUCAAAAUGUACUUAAGUGAGCAAGUAUAAACAUCAAAAUGUUAUCUAGGGGUAAAAGUAUGGAUUAUGCAGAACAUUGUUUCACUGUAGAUUAUAUAUUUUAUAGCAUGUAUGUGUUAAAUUUUUAAUGCUGCAGCUGAUUAAGGACAACUAACAAUAAAUCAGGACGGUCCCUAACUGAUUGGCAUGCUGUCACCACCAAUAAAGCUUUGUGUUUACUGCCAUCUGCUGGCUGACAUGACACAGGCCCAAUAGACUUUGUAGCCAUGUGUUCUUGGGUAGAGAGACUAAAAUAUAGGUAAAUCACUGACUUUAAGAAGCUCCUUUUUGUGUUGCAAUGACAUGAAAUGCUGUGUAAUUGUGAAUCAGCUGUUUCUCUGCAAUAGCUAUGACUCAGCAAUUGUUUCCAGUCGUCAGUAAGGCAAAGAGCAUCACUCACCUUAGAUGACUUUGCAUGUAUUUCCAUGAACGAAUAAUCACACCAUGCUUUCUUGUAUUUCAGUAGAAACAUUUGCUCUGUGUAGGUCAGUAACAAGCGCUGCAGUGAGAAAAAUUCAAUAUCCAUUUCCUGGUCAGUCAUUUCAAUAAGACAGCUUCCGGUGAAAGAAAAACACAAGUCUCAAGCUCAGUCUCUGAGAAAAUAGAUUUAUUAUUCAAAUAAGCGACACAUAUACACAGUGGGUUCAUGGUUCUAAUCAUCGGAAAGAAGAGGAAUCUAGUAGAACGACAAUCAUUUACAGAAGUGUAUAUUUUCACACAGCUCCUCAGGGCAGGAGAAGUCCUUUGACAUCAAUUAUUCAUAUUAUAUUCAGACAUAUAUAAUUUACUGUACAGACAAAGAGCUGAAGGCAGAAGAGAGCUUGAUUCCCACUAAGGCGCUCAUGA